GUGGCCUAGUGGUUAGAGCAUUUACCUCAAAUGUGGGAGGUCAUGGGUUCAAUCCCUGGUAGUCA